AACGUGGUCCUUUGUGCCGGCCGGCUUGCAGCCACGUGUCAUCAAACUGCUAAAAGGCCGGGGUUGU
rnacentral:ncRNA from 1 species